UGAAAUUAUUUUAUUGGAUUUAGUUUCUGUUUGUAUUUAUUUCUUCACGCUAGCUUUUAGGUAUUUGAUAAAGGCAUUUUUUGUUUACCUCAGAUAAUUAUUUAAAAGUGUAUGAAUCUGUUUGCUGCAGAAAUGUCUUGUGGAAACGUGAAGGCACAAGGAAAUGCAUUAAUUCAUUCAAUAAUUGUUUACAGAGCCCGUGCUCAGCAUAGGGCACUAGGCUGAUGAUGGUAGUAAGACUACUAGGAGGUUGAGGUGUGUUUCAGAGAGAAGAACAAGCACAAGUUAAGGUCCUAGAUAGGAAAGAGUUCAAUGUCUCAAAAGGAAUAAAAACUAUUACUGAAAGGGGGAGUGUGGUGGUUCUGGGUGGCAGAGGGCAGGGGCUGUUAAAGAGAAGUUGUGACUGAUGGUACUGCCCGUGUCAAUCAUUUGUUUAAAUCCUACAUAUUUAGAAUUUACCUUGGCCUAGCAAUAUGCAGUAGAUCUUUUUAUCUUUAAAUCAUACAUGACUGGAAACUCCUUGAAUAUGGAGACAAUCUCUUAAUCAUUUUUAAUUCCUCCAAUUACUGGCACAUCUAAAUCACAACCAGUGAGCAUUCACAACAUUGUCUCAGACAUAUCCUCAGUCAUCUAAGCUCCUACUGUUCUUAGUAUUAAUGUAUAUCUGUGAGUAGAGGUCAUUUACACUUAUGAAUUCCAAUAAUUUAUGAACAGGUAAGUAGUUAGGAACCUGAGGUUCUGCCACUUACUAGCUGGGUACCUGUAGGCUGAAGGGGCGGACCUACGCCAGCCGACCAUGCCUCCUCCCCUUGAGUAACAGGACUCCAACCCUUCCCCAGCCAAUCAGCCAAGGCCACGACACUUCCCCAGCCAAUCGGCUGAGGCCACAGCCAUUACCUCACCAACUGCCCCUAGACCCCAAUAAAACCUUUGUGCUUUUGAAACUCACUCUCUCUCCCUGGCAUCACACCGCUGCGUCCGUACGGUGACUGAAAGCAUCUCAUGGAUUUUGUUGUUAAAAGCAAUCAUACUUUCUGCAAGACUUGCUUCCUUCUCCACAUCUCUUUAAUUCCAAUUUUCUACAUCAGGUCUGAUACCAUCUGGAAUAGAGGAUGAAUUGAAUGCUGCGAACCUUUAAAUUAGCUUGAUAUUUCUAAAAACUAAGAGGAAAAGUUUUUAAAUACUUCAAGGUUGCAAGGUCAACCUCCUGAAAUCUCAACACUCUUUGGGAUUCUAUUUAAAUCUGUGUAGCCUGCAUUGCAAUUCUUUGAUCCCAACUACAUGCUUUAUCUCUGGAACUGAUUUCUUGUUUAUUGGCUGACAUCUUCAACUAUAACAGCAAUGUUAUUUCUGUGGCCAAACUGUUCUCCCAGAAUAUCUUCAGGGACCAAUCACUAUAAAAAGAACUAGAACUUUUUGUACAUUCACUGGAGUUGGCCAUCAUCACUUAAUUAUCAAGCGCUCCAAAUGUCUCCUGAACAGCUCGUAACAUUCAACAAAAUCAAUGCUACCUUUAAGUUUUUAUAACCAAUAUGUCUUAUGCAAUUAAAAUUUUUGAAUGUGAAAGCUUCCUGUAACAUCUUAAUUGGACAAGAAAUUAAAAUGCGUGAUAAGUGAUAUGACACUUAUCGUCUUCACGUUAUUACAGUGAACUAAGUACCCAAAAGAAUAGAAAUAUCCCAAUAAAAUUUGUCCUAGGCAGUGGUCUGCAGUAAUGCCUGAGAAAGUAAGUGGGGAGGAAAAGACGCAGAAGUGUUAAAUACUAGAAAUAAGUGGAUGAACGGAUG